rnacentral:misc_RNA from 1 species
GCUGCAUCCGUUUUCUCUUCAUCUUCUAGCUGGAAAAACCCUCGUCAACUUUACUCUGCAACAAUGGGGUACGAUCUCUCUCUUCGAUUUUCACUCUCAUUUUUUAGUUGUCCUGUUGCUAUAAUGAUUUAGUUCUAGAUCCUGGUUUUAGGGUUUAAAUCCCCAAGCUCUAUGUUUAUGGUGUCUUCUUCUCUUUUUUCUUUUUAAAUUAUUUUUUUAAUGAGUCAGAAAAUGGAAAUCAAUUGGCAGUUAUAUAAAAUAUUUGAAAAGAAGAGCUUGAGGUGCUUGUAAUAUAUCAUUUGAUAUCUAGUUUAAAUUCAGUUCGUUUUGUUGUUAAGUUGAAUGAGAUUGUGCGUUUCUGGGUAAUUAAUUAUGAUCCCAGGAUUGAUUUGCUUAAUAUAAUUAGAUUUCCAUGUAUUGAUUUUAAAGUUUUGUCCUGCUGGAGACCAAUAGAUGUAUGGCCAGUGGGGAUAACGCGUAGUAUUAUUUAGUGGUAUGCCAUGCCUAUUAAGCAAUAGCUGGUUAUUUUGAAAUAGGAUGCAUUUGGAAGGUUUAGUUUUAGUUUUAAGUAAAUCUCAUCUUUUGUACAAGUAGAAUCAGUAAUUGUUGGAAUGGAUUUCGAGUAGCCAGCAACGAUUAGAUGAUAGUUUUUAAUCUUUUGAUUGAAAUAGAGAAUUCAAUGAUUAUUGUUGGUAGACUUUUGUUAUUAGUUAAAAUGACUGCUCCCAGAAGGGCAAGUGGUGGUGUCUAGUUUGUGCUGCAGAACAAGGAAAUUGUUGUGUAAUGGAAUGUAUGUCAGGAAGCAAACAGAAACAAGUUUAUAUGCAUUAUGCAAUUGAUACCUGGUGCAUGUAUCAAUCUUGGUGCAUGUCUGUGCUCAGUCCGUUUGCUUGCACAAUUAUCUUGCAGGAAGACACGUGGAAUGGGAGCUGCCCGCAAACUGAAGUCCCACCGAAGGAGGCAAAGGUGGGCUGACAAGGCAUACAAGAAGUCCCACCUUGGCAAUGAAUGGAAAAAGCCAUUUGCUGGGUCUUCCCAUGCCAAAGGCAUUGUUCUUGAGAAGAUAGGUAUUGAGGCCAAGCAGCCAAACUCUGCAAUCAGAAAAUGUGCAAGAGUUCAACUGAUAAAAAAUGGGAAGAAGAUUGCUGCUUUUGUUCCCAAUGACGGUUGCUUAAACUAUAUUGAGGAGAAUGAUGAGGUUUUGAUUGCUGGAUUUGGUCGUAAGGGUCAUGCCGUUGGAGAUAUUCCUGGAGUUAGAUUCAAGGUUGUGAAGGUCUCUGGUGUCUCCCUUUUGGCACUAUUCAAGGAGAAGAAGGAAAAGCCAAGAUCAUAAGUUUGCAAUGGAGUGUUAAUUAAUGAUUUUUUUUUUUUUUUUAAGUAUUGUCAAUAUGCUUUCUUUUUUCCCUGCAGAUUUUAGGAGUUUCUGUAGGUUGAUUAAAAGUGUUUCAUGGCAUAUAAGGAACAUCUUAAAAUAUCAAAGGAGAGAGAGAGAAAGAUAAUAAGAAAAAUGAUGAAAGGAGCAAAGUGAUAUAAUCCAAUUUGAAUAGCAACAAAUAAAAACGCCUAAAAGACAUUAUUCGAGAUUGCAGAGAAAAAGGCGUCAUAAUCGAUGAUCAAUAAGAAUGGAUUUUUGAUAGUAUUUCAAACUCUUAAUUGGAUUUUUUAGAGAAUCUCUAAUCAAGCCUGAAAGAUGGAACAAGAUCCGUUUUGCAUCAUUUCUAAGGGACUUUUAGUCAGGCCCAGGAAGCAAUGUCACUGAUUGUUAUCAAAUUGAGCAGCAAUCAUUUUUGGCAUCUUAAUAACUAAAGUUCAAUGUUUGCCUAGCUUUUUCCUUCAUAUAGAUUUCACAUAUGCAUACUAUAGGAAAUAGUAUGUAAUUCUUCAAACUGAUUCUUGUUCAUGGUGCUUGACAUAUUAUUUCAUGUGUGAUCCUUUGACAUGUUAAUUCACGCGUGAUUCUUUGGCACAUUAUAAAUGUCUGACCUGUCAAGGCUAUGAAAGCUAUUUGUGGAGGAAGGUUGUCACUGAGAAGCUUAAUGGAUGGGUGUCCAAACUAGGUGUCGAUUUUCUUUGAGAUGGGGGCUCAGCUCUAUAUUUUGUUUUCUGCAAUGAUAUUCAACAUAUUGAUCCCACUUUUAAAUUCAAAUCCAAUAACAUUUUUGCUAGCUAUUGUGAGAACUUGAACAGUUUUUGCACGAAUGUUAUAAACAGGAAUAUAUCACAGGAUGCCAGUCUUAACUGAAUACAAUAGUGGGAGCUUUAUUUCUUCUCUGGUUUUUCCAGUUGUGGAUGGUAUGAAAAAUUAGUGGCUCAGGGAGGAUACUGUUAGGUGGACAAUGAAAAAUCGGAAUGGUUUUAUUUUAAGCCCUUCACUGAUAAGGUAAGUGAGGCUUUCAAUCCUGAUGGAAAGCUUAAUUUUUCAUGUAGACGCAUUUGAAAUAUGAGAAUCCAUCUAAAGUAGCUUUUUUCUGUGAAGCAUCUCAUAGAGGAUCUUAAUCACUGACAGUCUCCUUAGAAGGAAGCAAUGUGUUUUUUUUUUUUUGGUCUUUGGAACAGAUAUUUUUUAAUGAACAUAUUGUUUCUGAUUAAGCAGGUUCCUUUUCAUGUGUGUAAGCCUGCCUUAAUUUUGAGCUUGUAUCCCUUUGCACCUUUGUGCAGAUUAAUAAUAUUUUUUUUUGUCUUAAAAAAUAAAAAACUGUAUAAACUGGCAUAAUAAAAUAUGCUGAUGGGAGGUAGGCUUUGUCAUUUCAUUCUAGAAUUUGCACAAUUAUGGGUGUCAUAUUCCUUUAUUAGCUGUUAUGUGUAUAUUGCAGCACAGUAAGAGGGAAGGAAAAAGAAUGACAUUGCUAAGUAAUUGAUAUUUUCUUCUUCUUGGCAUGCUCUACCAGGGAUGGAUUUCCAAAGUCCAUGUCAUAUCUCUCUGUCUCUCAAUUAUAUUUUAUUCCUUGCAGCUAGUGACACAUUCAAUUUUGCCUCAUGUCCAUGGAUUAGCACUAAAAAC